rnacentral:rRNA from 1 species
CUGGAUAUUUGAAGGGUGCUGCUCCUAGUACGAGAGGACCGGAGUGGACGAACCUCUGGUGUACCGGUUGUCACGCCAGUGGCAUCGCCGGGUAGCUAUGUUCGGAAGAGAUAACCGCUGAAAGCAUCUAAGCGGGAAACUCGCCUUAAGAUGAGAUAUCCCCGGGGCUUCGAGCCCCUUGAAGGGUCGUUCAAGACCAGGACGUUGAUAGGUCAGGUGUGUAAGCGCAGUAAUGCGUUCAGCUAACUGAUACUAAUUGCCCGUAAGGCUUGAUCCUAUAACAG